rnacentral:rRNA from 1 species
AAUAGAUACCCGGGUAGUCCACGCCGUAAACGAUGGAUGCUAGCUGUUAUGCGUAUCGACCCGUGUAGUAGCGAAGCUAACGCGUUAAGCAUCCCGCCUGGGGAGUACGAACGCAAGUUUAAAACUCAAAGGAAUUGACGGGGACCCGCACAAGCGGUGGAGCGUGUUCUUUAAUUCGAGGCUAAGCGAAGAACCUUACCAGGGCUUGACAUCCUUGGAAUUUCUCCGAAAGGAGAGAGUACUUUAUUGGACCAAGUGACAGGUGCUGCAUGGCCGUCGUCAGCUCGUGUCGUGAGAUGUUGGGUUAAGUCCCGCAACGAGCGCAACCCUCGUUCUAUGUUGCCAGCACGUAAUGGUGGGAACUCAUGGGAUACUGCCGGGGUCAACUCGGAGGAAGGUGGGGAUGACGUCAAAUCAUCAUGCCCCUUAUGUCUUGGGCUUCACGCAUGCUACAAUGGCCGGUACAAAGGGCUGCGAUACCGUAAGGUGGAGCGAAUCCCAAAAAGCCGGUCCCAGUUCGGAUUGAGGUCUGCAACUCGA